rnacentral:lncRNA from 1 species
GCUGGCUUCGUUGGGAUAAGUGGUGGUGGGAAGCAGCAAAAGUGUCCUGCAUCCAUAUUCUCGACAUCUUCCUCCUCCUUCUUCCAAAAGGUGGUGAUAAGUGUCCUUCCUCCAGCACCAAUCGUGACUGUAAGCCUCUGAGCUGACAUCAGUCGUCCAUUGAUGUGAAGCUUGGAUUUGGUUGAAAAGGUGAUUCCCACC